rnacentral:rRNA from 1 species
UAAUUUUUUCUAUUAGGGAUAAGCUUAAUAGAAUUUCUUUAAAUAAAAAUUAUUUAUUUAAAUAAGGAAUAAAAUUUUCUAAGUUUUUUUGUAAAAAAUUUUUUUAUUAUUCAAGUUAUGUAAGAUUUUUAUAUGAUUAAAUUAAUUUUUUUUUUAAUAAAAUUAUUAAAAAAUUAGUAAAUUUAAAAAAAAAGUAAUGAAAAAUUAAAAUAUAUUAAUAAAAUGAAAAUUUAAUUAUAGUAAUUCGGCAAAUUAAUUUAAUUGACUGUUUAUCAAAAACAUUUCAUCUUGAAAAGUAAUAAGAUGUAUAAUCUGCUCAAUGAUUUUUUAAAUUGCUGUGGUAUUUUGACUAUACAAAGGUAUUGAAAUAAGAUUUUAAAUGAGUGCUAAGAGAAUGAUUAAACAAUUAAAAGCUUUCUUUAAUUAAAAAAUUAAAUUUAAUUUUUUUAGUGCAAAAGCAAAAAUAAAAUUUAGGGACAAGAAGACCCUAUGAAUUUUUAUUGUUAAUAAUUAAAAUUUAAGUUAUUAAUAAUUUAAUUGGGGCGAUAAAAAAAGAAUAAGUAUCUUUUUAGUUAUAAAAUAAGUUCCGUUUUUAGCGAUUAAAUGAAAUAAAUACUCUAGGGAUAACAGCGUAAUAAUUUUGGAUAGUUCAUAUAGAUAAAAUAGUUUGUGACCUCGAUGUUGGAUUAGGAUUC